CCUACGGGUGGCAGCAGUGAGGAAUAUUGGUCAAUGGGCGCGAGCCUGAACCAGCCAAGUAGCGUGAAGGAUGACUGCCCUACGGGUUGUAAACUUCUUUUAUAAAGGAAUAAAGUGUGGCACGUGUGCCCUUUUGUAUGUACUUUAUGAAUAAGGAUCGGCUAACUCCGUGCCAGCAGCCGCGGUAAUACGGAGGAUCCGAGCGUUAUCCGGAUUUAUUGGGUUUAAAGGGAGCGUAGAUGGGUUGUUAAGUCAGUGGUGAAAGUUUGCGGCUCAACCGUAAAAUUGCAAUUGAUACUGGCAGUCGUGAGUACAGGUGAGGUAGGCGGAAUGCGUGGUGUAGCGGUGAAAUGCAUAGAUAUCACGAAGAACUCCGAUUGCGAAGGCAGCUUACUAAACUGCCACUGACACUGAGGCACGAAAGUGUGGGUAGCAAACAGGAUUAGAUACCCUGGUAGUC
rnacentral:rRNA from 1 species